rnacentral:rRNA from 1 species
UUGGUGAGGUAAGGGCUCACCAAGCCAACGAUCGGUAGCCGACCUGAGAGGGUGAUCGGCCACAUUGGAACUGAGACCGGUCCAAACUCCUACGGGAGGCAGCAGUGGGGAAUAUUGGGCAAUGGGGGGAACCCUGACCCACGGACGCCGCGUGAGGGAAGAAGGUUUUCGGAUUGUAAACCUUUGUCCUUGGUGAAGAGAAGAAGACGGUAGCCAAGGAGGAAGCCCCGGCUAAUUACGUGCCAGCAGCCGCGGUAAUACGUAGGGGGCGAGCGUUGUCCGGAAUGAUUGGGCGUAAAGGGCGCGUAGGCGGCCGUGCAAGUCUGAAGUGGAAGUCCAUUUUUCAAGGGUGGAAUUGCUUUGGAAACUGCGCGGCUGGAGUGCAGGAGAGGUUAUCGGAAUUCCCGGUGUAGCGGUGAAAUGCGUAGAGAUCGGGAGGAACACCAGUGGCGAAGGCGGGUAACUGGAUUGCAACUGACGCUGAGGCGCGAAAGUGUGGGGAGCAAACAGGAUUAGAUACCCUGGUAGUCCACACCGUAAACGAUGAAUGCUAGGUGUAGGAGGUAUCGACCCCUUCUGUGCCGCAGUAAACAC